GAAAGUCCUGGCCUUUGCUGGCCGACCUGAACACUGGAAGCGUUGACCGGGGAUAGCUCCGCAUAUGGACGCGGCUGGACGUGGAAGCGACUACCGGGAGAGCUCCGCACGGGCCCUGGGGAAGUGGAAGCGUCAACCGAAGGUCCGGUACUGGGCGCCCUGGCAGCGCGGACGGUAAACCCCCUGUGAAAACCCCUCGUUGCUUCGGCAGCAUCCUCGGCCCUGCCGGGGCUUCAGCCUGCCGACAGCACCUCAGGAAACCCUUUAUGUGAAAGGAAGCAUUGACAACGUCUGAGAACGGAAGUCGAAUGACAUA
rnacentral:misc_RNA from 1 species